CCAUCCCACUGGAGUUUACUGGUACCAUCCCACUGGAGUUUACUGGUACCAUCAAGCAGGUCCCCUGUAGGUUUCUCCAGUGGGGUCAACAUCUUCCGAAAGACCCGUUAGUGCUUCCCAACAGCAACGUUCACCCUUGAAAAGCUUUUAGGAACCCGUCGCUUUCUUUCAGCUGCUGACUUCAAUAAUUGUCUCCAGCUCAUUAACAUUUAGGGUGAGCUCUUCAUGUCUUGUUUUUAACCACCUUACUAGUGACGCAUGUUUCCAGCAAAGAAGGAAAGACCGUUGCUCAUCCCCUUGGCUGAGUGCUGCCACAUCUUCAUUGCUGCUCAGAGGUGACAGCCCUCUGGGACCUUUAGCAGCUUGCUGUGACCCAAAAUGCUGCCCAGAUGUUGCUGUCUGGUCUCCUCAUAAUCCCAGUAAUCCCAGUGCUCCACUGAAGCCAGUCAGCAUAUCCCUUACUGACGGUGUGGACCGUCCCCGGGAAAUUUGGCAGUGCUGAACCCUGGGUUCAGGAGCCGUACCAAUAAACGUGGUGCUAAGCUUAACCCCAGUCCUGUCUGGAUUUGGCCUUGCAUCCCCCAUCAGCCAGGACAGUUCAAAGUAAACUGGAGAAAAUACCCACAAAACACUUCACCAGAAGGUCUGCUUGGUCUUUCUCUCUGUAAUUGUUGGGUUAGAGAGCCAAGAGCCCAGGUCCAUGGUUUCCUUGCCCAGCCUUGCCACGAGGAUGCUGAUUCCUCACCCCAAAAAUGAAAAUUGCUUGUGCUGCAGCACUGGACGAGUCAUAUUUUGUAAAAGCAGCCCUGGCGCUAUUUUAGGAUUAGGCAAACACAUUUGAUCCUGGUUUAGACCAAUUCCUCAGACCUCCUCUUAGUUUCUCCCAUCCCUCCUUCUUGUGAAGUGGGUUGGUGGAGAUAAAGAGACACCGCAACGUAACUGGCCGAGUUCAGCCAAGGGCAACUGGGACCAUUUAGGGUCAACUGGGACGUUCUUGUGGUCCCGGCUCGGUGGAACCAUGGUCCCAUGGAGGGCUUUUGCCCCAAGCAAAAAUGUCAUAACCACAGGAGGCAAAGGAGGGGACUGUGUCAGCUCUGAGCACCAUCAGCAAAGAAAAACAGGACAUUUGUAGAGUGGUUCAUCUCAUCCUCGAGUGAACUUUUAGGAUAGGGUUGGGUUAAGAUAGGACUUGCACCAUGGCAGCACUUUUUUUUCCUUGUGCCUGUGAAGGGAGCUUGGUUUUAUGGGGAGGGUCACAACAUAGUCACCGGGGCGAGACAAAUAAUUGGGAGAAAUUAAUUCAACCGAAGUACUGAACUGGUACAAACAUUACUCCGGGCCAGGUCUUGCCUGGUCUCCCGCACUUGCCAAAAAGCAGCGUGAACACCAAGUUACGUGCUCUGAAUAAUUCAACAAAAAUGUGCUCCAAGUUCACUCCUGAGGUCCUGAUCAGUGAUCCCACCCUUCUCCGAGCUGGCAUCAGCCGGCUUCAAACCAUCGCCUCGGGCAACGCUGCCAGUCCCACCAAGGGGCUCCCCCUGUGAUCCUGGUCCCGCACAAGCUAGCUCACUGCUCAGAUGGAGAGCGGUCGGAGGGGUACCAACUGGAAAUUUAUAUAUAGAUAUUUUUUUUUGUUUGUAAAAGCACUAACUUAUACUAAAAAAAAAGUGGGUUUUGUGACAACUGUACAUUUUUAUUUUUGUAACAUGCAGACACCUCAGAUUUCUUAUAGUAAAUAAAUUUAUUUCUACUGUGAGCA